rnacentral:lncRNA from 10 species
ACUGAUCAACUGAGUAAAGUAGAAAGGCCCUUCACCAUGUUGAUGGGCAUCAUCUAAUCCAUUGAAAGUCUGAACAGAAAAAGGCAGAGGGAGAGCAAAUUGGCUCUCUGCUUAAGUUGAGAUGUCCAUUUUCUCCUGCCUUCAGACCUCAGACAUCGGUAUUCCCAUUGACCUCCCAACUCACAGGCCUUUAGAUUCAGGUUGAAUUACAUCACCAGCUUUCCUAGUUUUCCAGCUUACCAACAGCAGAUCAUGGGACAACCUAGUCUCCAUAACCAUGUAAGCCAAUGCCUAUUAUCUCUUUAAAUAUCUCUGUGUAUAUUCCAUUGGUUAUUUUCCUCUGGAGACUCCUAAUACAGCUAUAUACAUUUAAACUUCAAAUUCAACAGUCAUGGUCAUUUAGAACAUGUAGUGUUUCCUUAAUCUGCAAGAGAUGGUGAGGAAGAAGAAAUGACAACUUAUGAAAAUUAUUCUACUGCAGGUUGGACAACCUUGCUCCAGAUGAAAGAUUUCGAAGCAAGUAGAAUACAAAACGGACAGCAAAGAAACUGAAAAAUUGAACUUACUUGAAAAAUGUUUAAAUAUCAAAACUUGUUAUUCCCAGAAGAUGCAUUUGACAAUUCUUGGUUAUAAAACAGCUCAUCUAUCUUCAAGUCAUCCAGCCCUUUGCUUUGAUCCAUGUUUUUCUGCAUCAGAAUUAUAAGAACCAAUAAAAUGCAAGAUAGUAAUCUCCUCAAACACUGCCUAUCCAGCCAAUAUGAAAUUGAUACUGUUCUUAAAUGAAAUCUGAGUUUUAAAAGUACAAUAUUAAGUUUUUAUGAAUUUUCGUGUGCAGUGUUUAGCUUGCUUUUAUCCAAUGUUUUAGAAUGGUGUGUGUUUAGCAUUAUUUUAACUUGAUUUUUACUAUGC